GGGCCUGUAGCUCAGUUGGCAGAGCAUCGGACUUUUAAUCCGCGGGUCGUGGGUUCGAGCCCCACCGGGCCCACCA
rnacentral:tRNA from 19 species